rnacentral:rRNA from 1 species
AUACGGAGGGGGCUAGCGUUGUUCGGAAUUACUGGGCGUAAAGCGUACGUAGGCGGACUGAUCAGUUGGGGGUGAAAUCCCAGGGCUUAACCCUGGAACUGCCUUCAAUACUGUCAGUCUUGAGAUUGGAAGAGGUGAGCGGAAUUCCUAGUGUAGAGGUGAAAUUCAUAGAUAUUAGGAGGAACACCAGUGGCGAAGGCGGCUCACUGGUCCAAUACUGACGCUGAGGUACGAAAGCGUGGGGAGCAAACAGGAUUAGAAACCCUAGUAGUCC